UUAGGAAUAGAACUCAGGACCUCUGGAAGAGCAGUCAGUGCUCUUAACCGCUGAGCCAUCUCUGCAGUCUGGAAUCCUCUUCUCUUAGAGCAUCACUUGACUAAACUCUUCCUUGCCCAAAGCCUGGCUAUGGCUGUGACUGUGGCACCUUGGCUUCUGCCAGCUCUCUAGUGUCUUUAUCUCACUAACAUAGCCCUCCUCUAUAGCUGCUGACUGUCUAGUUAUUGCUUGCUUCCCUCCACUAGUCUGUGAACACUGGGAAGCAGACCUUCCAAGAACACCUCGCCUGGAGGAGCAGAGAUAAAGAUAACCAAGAAGCUAUUCCUGCCCUUGAGGAACCCACUCUGGUGUGCCUCCUGAAAAAGAUGCCUCCUUUGGCUCCUUCCUGCCUUUGUCACCAAGGCUGUCUUGAGCCUUGGCAUCCCUUGCAGCUCCUCCUACCGACAUCACUGUGUCUGUUCUAGAAUACAAUAAUUACUCAUGGCUUCGUGGUGCAGUGGGUGUGCAUUGACUUUACAAUAAGCCUUUGUUUCUUCCUUAUUCUUAUUACAUCAAAAAUAUUUAUUUUUA